rnacentral:rRNA from 1 species
AAGCUUAUUCAUGGGGGUCAAGGGUAAACGACGGCAAAAGCUUGCAUUUGAUGGGCGUCUACCGGCGCACGGGUGAUUAACGCGUAUCCAACCUGCCCACCACUUGGGGAUAACCUUGCGAAAGUAAGACUAAUACCCAAUGACGUCUCUAGAGGACAUCUGAAAGAGAUUAAAGAUUUAUCGGUGAUGGAUGGGGAUGCGUCUGAUUAGCUUGUUGGCGGGGUAACGGCCCACCAAGGCUACGAUCAGUAGGGGUUCUGAGAGGAAGGUCCCCCACAUUGGAACUGAGACACGGUCCAAACUCCUACGGGAGGCAGCAGUGAGGAAUAUUGGUCAAUGGACGAGAGUCUGAACCAGCCAAGUAGCGUGCAGGAUGACGGCCCUAUGGGUUGUAAACUGCUUUUAUAAGGGAAUAAAGUGAGUCUCGUGAGACUUUUUGCAUGUACCUUAUGAAUAAGGACCGGCUAAUUCCGUGCCAGCAGCCGCGGUAAUACGGAAGGUCCGGGCGUUAUCCGGAUUUAUUGGGUUUAAAGGGAGCGUAGGCCGGAGAUUAAGCGUGUUGUGAAAUGUAGAUGCUCAACAUCUGCACUGCAGCGCGAACUGGUUUCCUUGAGUACGCACAAAGUGGGCGGAAUUCGUGGUGUAGCGGUGAAAUGCUUAGAUAUCACGAAGAACUCCGAUUGCGAAGGCAGCUCACUGGAGCGCAACUGACGCUGAAGCUCGAAAGUGCGGGUAUCGAACAGGAUUAGAUACCCUGGUAGUCCGCACGGUAAACGAUGGAUGCCCGCUGUUGGUCUGAAUAGGUCAGCGGCCAAGCGAA